rnacentral:rRNA from 1 species
UACGGAGGAUGCGAGCGUUAUCCGGAUUUAUUGGGUUUAAAGGGUGCGUAGGCGGACGCCUAAGUCAGCGGUAAAAUUGCGGGGCUCAACCUCGUCGAGCCGUUGAAACUGGGUGCCUUGAGUGGGCGAGAAGUACGCGGAAUGCGUGGUGUAGCGGUGGAAUGCAUAGAUAUCACGCAGAACUCCGAUUGCGAAGGCAGCGUACCGGCGCCCAACUGACGCUGAAGCACGAAGGCGUGGGUAUCGAACAGG